UGGCGGGGCCUAUACUGCAGUCGAGCGGACUGAUGGGAGCUUGCUCCCUGAUGUUAGCGGCGGACGGGUGAGUAACACGUGGGCAACCUACCUGUAAGACUGGGAUAACUCCGGGAAACCGGGGCUAAUACCGGAUAACCCGUUCCUCCUCAUGGAGGGACGGUAAAAGAUGGCUUCUUGCUAUCACUGACAGAUGGGCCCGCGGCGCAUUAGCUAGUUGGUAAGGUAAUGGCUUACCAAGGCGACGAUGCGUAGCCGACCUGAGAGGGUGAUCGGCCACACUGGGACUGAGACACGGCCCAGACUCCUACGGGAGGCAGCAGUAGGGAAUCUUCCGCAAUGGACGAAAGUCUGACGGAGCAACGCCGCGUGAGUGAUGAAGGUUUUCGGAUCGUAAAGCUCUGUUGUUAGGGAAGAACAAGUGCCGUUCGAAUAGGGCGGCACCUUGACGGUACCUAACCAGAAAGCCACGGCUAACUACGUGCCAGCAGCCGCGGUAAUACGUAGGUGGCAAGCGUUGUCCGGAAUUAUUGGGCGUAAAGCGCGCGCAGGCGGUCUUUUAAGUCUGAUGUGAAAGCCCACGGCUCAACCGUGGAGGGUCAUUGGAAACUGGGAGACUUGAGUACAGAAGAGGAGAGUGGAAUUCCACGUGUAGCGGUGAAAUGCGUAGAUAUGUGGAGGAACACCAGUGGCGAAGGCGACUCUCUGGUCUGUAACUGACGCUGAGGCGCGAAAGCGUGGGGGAGCAAACAGGAUUAGAUACCCUGGUAGUCCACGCCGUAAACGAUGAGUGCUAGGUGUUAGGGGUUUCGAUGCCCUUAGUGCCGAAGU
rnacentral:rRNA from 1 species